CCUACGGGAGGCAGCAGUGGGGGAUAUUGCACAAUGGGGGGAACCCUGAUGCAGCGACGCCGCGUGUGGGAAGACGGUCCUCUGGAUUGUAAACCACGGUCCCCAGGGACGAAAAUGACGGUACCUGGGGAGGAAGGUCCGGCUAACUACGUGCCAGCAGCCGCGGUAAUACGUAUGGAGGGAGCGUUGUCCGGAAUUACUGUGUGUAAAGGGAGCGUAGGCGGGGAUGCAAGUUGGGUGGCAAAACUACCGGCUCAACUGGUAGUCGCACUCAAAACAGCCGCUCUUGAGUGGAGUAGAGGCAUGCGGCAUUCCUAGUGUAGCGGUGAAAUGCGUAGAUAUUAGGAGGAACCCCAGUGGCGAAGGCGGCCUGCUGGGCUUUUACUGACGCUGAGGCUCGAAAGUGUGGGGAGCAAACAGGAUUAGAUACCCGAGUAGUC
rnacentral:rRNA from 1 species